UACGUAGGGGGCGAGCGUUGUCCGGAAUUAUUGGGCGUAAAGGGCGCGUAGGCGGCGCGGUAAGUCACUUGUGAAAUCUCUGAGCUUAACUCAGAACGGCCAAGUGAUACUGCAGUGCUAGAGUGUGGAAGGGGCAAUCGGAAUUCUUGGUGUAGCGGUGAAAUGCGUAGAUAUCAAGAGGAACACCUGAGGUGAAGACGGGUUGCUGGGCCAACACUGACGCUGAUGCGCGAAAGCCAGGGGAGCAAACGGG
rnacentral:rRNA from 1 species